CUGAGACAACUCUCCAGCCCAAGAUUAGGUUUUAAGGGCUGGAAAGAAGACUCAG
ensembl:miRNA Mir3473b microRNA 3473b